rnacentral:tmRNA from 1 species
GGGGGUGUUCUGGAUUCGACAUGUGUAGUAGCGUGUGAGUUGCACUUAGGGCCUUGCGUCCCUUUAAAACGCACAGUUUAUUAUAACUGCAAAAAAUAAUAAUAACUACGCAUUAGCUGCCUAAAAACAGUCUAAGCGUGAUCCAUUCUAGUUUCGCCCAAGGGCUGGAAAUGGGUCUCAAAAAUAUUGGGCUACGUUUAACUACGCAUUCUGAAUAGUUAAAAAGAGAUUGUCGGAAUAGUCAUUGUGGCUAGCCGGGUUGUAUGGCGUUCAUAGUGGCGAAACUUUAAAUAAUACAACUAUGAGUGUAGAGGCUUGCAUAGCAUUACGCUUGGACAGGGGUUCAAUUCCCCUCACCUCCA